rnacentral:misc_RNA from 1 species
AAAAAAAAAAAAGAAAGAGAACAAACCAGCAUGCCUACUGUUUCAGCAUCAGUGUAAUUUGGAAAUUGAUGAAUCGUUGCAGUGAAGUACAUGAACAAGCACUUGUAUCAUGUGAUGCUAUUCACAGUGAGAGAAGAAUAUUGUUAAAGCAAGAAAUUGGAAGAAUGGUGCUCUUUUUUACAGAUCAGCCGAGUUUAUUGGCACCGAACAUCCAGAUGGUAUUUUCUGCAUUGGCUUUGGCCCAAUCUGAAGUCAUCUGGUAUUUCCAACAUGUAGGAAUUGCACCAUCAAAAUCUAAAGCUGCUCGAGCGGUACCUGUGGACAUAGAUCCAAGUGAUCCAACUAUUGGUUUCUUACUAGAUGGAAUGGAUCGUCUCUGUUGUUUAGUGCGCAAGUAUAUUGCAGCUAUUCGAGGAUAUGCGUUAUCAUACCUUUCUUCAUGUGCUGGUAGAAUCCGCUUUUUGCUGGGAACUCCUGGAAUGGUGGCUCUUGAUAUUGAUGCUAGCUUGAAAGGGCUUUUACAACGGAUUGUUCAUCAUCUUGAAAAUAUACCAAAACCACAGGGUGAAAAUAUUUCUGCCAUCACGUGUGAUCUAUGUGAAUUC